rnacentral:rRNA from 1 species
GACGGAGGGCGCAAGCGUUGUUCGGAAUUACUGGGCGUAAAGCGCGGGCAGGUUGUCCGUUAAGUCGUCUGUGAAAACCCGGGGCUCAACCCCGUGGAAUGCAGAUGAUACUGGCGGGCUGGAGAUCGGUAGAGGCUAGCGGAAUUCCUGGUGUAGCGGUGGAAUGCGUAGAUAUCAGGAAGAACACCCGUGGCGAAGGCGGCUAGCUGGGCCGAGUCUGACACUCAUCCGCGAAAGCGUGGGGAGCAAACAGG